GACGAACGCUGGCGGCGUGCUUAACACAUGCAAGUCGAACGGUGAAGCGCCUUCCUUUUUGGUGGGUGUGGAUGAGUGGCGAACGGGUGAGUAACACGUGAGUAACCUGCCCCCUUCUUCUGGAUAACCGCAUGAAAGUGUGGCUAAUACGGGAUAUUCUGGGUCUGUCGCAUGAUGGGUCUGGGAAAGAUAUUGUUUCGGUGGGGGAUGGGCUCGCGGCCUAUCAGCUUGUUGGUGGGGUGAUGGCCUACCAAGGCGGUGACGGGUAGCCGGCCUGAGAGGGUGGACGGUCACACUGGGACUGAGACACGGCCCAGACGCCUACGGGAGGCAGCAGUGGGGAAUAUUGCACAAGGGGCGCAAGCCUGAUGCAGCGACGCCGCGUGAGGGAUGGAGGCCUUCGGGUUGUGAACCUCUUUCGCCAGUGAAGCAGGCCUGCCUCGUUUGUGGGUGGGUUGACGGUAGCUGGAUAAGAAGCGCCGGCUAACUACGU
rnacentral:rRNA from 1 species